rnacentral:lncRNA from 7 species
GAGAAAAAGAGGGAUUCCCUUUUGUUAAAAAAAAAAUAAUAAUAACAAAAAAACGACAAUAAUAACAACAAUAAUAAAAAAUCAGUGUGCGGUUCGGCUUGAUUAUUUUUAUCUUUUUUUUUUCUCCCCUCUCCUGCCCGGCGAAUUCGCACUGGAAGAGGAAGGGAAAUCGACAACAAAAAUUAAUUAAAAAAAACCCCACAAACCCAACGGCGCACACGCGGAAAAAAAUAAUAAUAACAAAGUGAAAAAAAACAGCGGAAUAAGACGUGGGGGAAAAAAAUAAUAAUUAAAAAAAUUAAAAAAAGAAGAAUGAAAAAAAAAAAAAAAAAAAAGGCAGUUCCCGGCUCCUGGGACUCCCGUUCUGCGGAGGGCAGAGAGUACGUCCUUCUUUUUUUGUUGUUGUUGUUGCGGCGAAGGGAGAAGCGAGCGGGGGCGAAACCCUCCCGGAGAAGUCCUUCCCGGCACUGAAGCGGCGCCGGAGCGGAGCGGCGGUCGGGGCGGGAGGGCCGCACCGCUCACACCCCCGCGGGCUCCGACUGCGCCCCGGAGGGCUCCGCACCGCUGCGCGCUCCGCGGUUCGGCCGAGCGCCGCUCAUGGCUCGAGGAGCCGGAGUGGGGAACGGUCGGAUCUUGUCGUGAUCUCUGUAAAACUGUGACUAUCUCACAUGUCCUUCCUGCUCUGAUCCGCCCGCUAAUGAGCCAAGCCCCCUUGAUUGCUGAUUUUACGCGUUUCAGACCAAUUGUGGAUCUGCAUAGGCGUGGUUUUGACAGCUCCGGCCAAGCUCCGGGCGCGGGGAGGAGGGGAGGGGGGGGAGGGAGGGAGGACGGGAAGAAGGGGAAAAAAAAGAGAGAGAGAGAGAAAAAAAAAAAAAGAAGAAGGUGUCGGAAGCAUCGGCAGUAAGAAAACAUGUCAACAGAAUAAAAUAUUAACCAAUGACAGAGAAAAGUGCUCGAAAUCCCACCCCCGGCUCCUUUCCGCAUACCGGGUCAGCCCUGGCUGCGCCGCGGCCGGGGAGCGGCCACAGCCGGUGCGGGGACAGCGCGGAGCCGGGGCCGGACCGGGGGGUGCGGGGAGCGCGGGGCCGCUCGGAGCCGGGGGGUGUCCGGGGGGCGGGGGGGGGGGGGGGAGGCGGGGGCCGUCCCGUCGGUUUCCGCGGGCGGGGGCGUAGGGCCGGGGGGAGCGGCCGGGGGAGCUCGGCGGCCGCCGUCUUACGACAGAUCCUGGAAAGAGGAUCAAGGUGGGGCCCGCCCCGCCGCGCACCGCCGGCAACCGACGGGGCGGCCCGGGCUCGGCCGCUGGGAGCACGGCGGAGAGCUGCAGGCGGCGAGGCCCGGAGCGGCGAGCUCCAUCCAGCGCGGCAUUAGGGCUGCAGAACAGCACUGCCCCGGGUCUGCAGGAGAGCGCUGAGAAAACAAAGGCAGCCCAAACAAAUCACCGCUGCCCGCAGCAGUGACAGCGCGCAGUGCUGCACCUGUCCUCACACUGCUCUCAGUCGCUGGGACCCAACGCCGCGUGGACAGCCAUCCAUCAUUGCUCUGAUUCACAUCUCCAGAGAGCAGCGCUGCCCUGAGCCGCUCUGCAUUUCCCCUCCAUGCUGAAACCCUUUCCUCGGUCCGUCUGUCCUUCCCACUUGCCAUCUGUCUCCCAUCCUUCAAAUAUCACCUUAAAAACAGUCCCUCCACCCUCACAUUGGGGUCCCCCACUCACUCACUGUGCCCUCCCACACGUGGGCUGUGUGUGUUGGCACCGUCCGGGCACCGGGAUGUGUUUGGCAUCGGCCCCAUCUUACGGCCCUAUAAUAAUAUUGUAAAUCCUCACCGGAAAGUAAUUACACCCCAUAAAAGGAGCAGCAGUCUGUGGUCGGAGCCAGGGCCGCUCUGUGACACCCAUUUUAAAGAGAUGUUUCGUGCCUUAUUUAUAGAUUAGAUUUUAACCUGACAACCUUUUAACAUUGUAUUAAAUCAGAAAUUAACUCCGUCUGACUGCUCACCGUGUAAUUGACCCACGGAGGGGCAGAGCGUGGGGGAAUACUGAAGACACGUUUCAGACAGCAAAGUUCCCAAGGAGAUUCCAAACCUUCUCCUUGGUGGAGGGCAGGACUUCGCUAUUAAUUAGUAUGUGUGGUCAGGUGGUGGGGUGGGCAUGGAGGAGGGGCUCUGGGGAGGGGAUGGCAGGAGAUGUGGACAGGGACAGUCCUGGGACUGUCCUGGGACUUCACGUGGUCACAGUGUGAGCCUGCGGUGUCACUGCGUGGUGCACUGCGGGGGCUGUGCACAGCCCUUCCCCACAGCCCUGCAGGGCCGCAGGCGGCAACGGGCACAGCCACAGGGACACACGGGCACAGUGUGGCCGUGCUGUGGCAUCCGGCUCAUACAGGACACUGUCACACAAAGGGAAACUGAAAUCCAGAGCUGAAAUCCCCAGAAGGAGUCAGAGAUGGGGUCAGCCCCUGCAGCAGUGCUGACCCAGAGGGACGGGCAGGCACCGGCUGUGCCACUGCCACGGUGACCCACGGCCGCAUCCCCUCCGAAUUGCAUCCUCUGCUUUCAUGGGGUAAAGGCUCUCCUGGUGUAAGUGAGAGCUGCUCCAGAAAUGUGCACGAGGGGAGAGCACAGCAGGAACACCACCGUCUGAUGGAAGAGAUGAAGACGCUGCAGUGCAAGCUUCGGUUUGUACUUCUGUUCAGUUAAUGUUGAGGAACAGCACGCAAUUCAACGGACCCCAUUUUCAAAAGGCUUAGGGCCUGUUUACAAACAGCUCUGCUUAAACUUGGCCACCAGCUCUGCCAAACCCCGGCCCUGUGCUCACGCACACGGUGCUGGCUGCAUGGGGACGGGGCGGUGCUGCAGGACAGUGUGGGGACAGCGGGGCUGAGCCGUCCUCCUCCACCCACAGCGCUCCCCUUCACCCCACACCCCACGCUCUGGCCCGCCUGAUGCCUCUCAUGGC